GACGAACGCUGGCGGCGUGCUUAACACAUGCAAGUCGAACGGAAAGGCCCUGCUUUUGUGGGGUGCUCGAGUGGCGAACGGGUGAGUAACACGUGAGUAACCUGCCCUUGACUUUGGGAUAACUUCAGGAAACUGGGGCUAAUACCGGAUAGGAGCUCCUGCUGCAUGGUGGGGGUUGGAAAGUUUCGGCGGUUGGGGAUGGACUCGCGGCUUAUCAGCUUGUUGGUGGGGUAGUGGCUUACCAAGGCUUUGACGGGUAGCCGGCCUGAGAGGGUGACCGGCCACAUUGGGACUGAGAUACGGCCCAGACUCCUACGGGAGGCAGCAGUGGGGAAUAUUGCACAAUGGGCGGAAGCCUGAUGCAGCAACGCCGCGUGCGGGAUGACGGCCCUCGGGUUGUAAACCGCUUUCGCCUGUGACGAAGCGUGAGUGACGGUAAUGGGUAAAGAAGCACCGGCUAACUACGUGCCAGCAGCCGCGGUGAUACGUAGGGUGCGAGCGUUGUCCGGAUUUAUUGGGCGUAAAGGGCUCGUAGGUGGUUGAUCGCGUCGGAAGUGUAAUCUUGGGGCUUAACCCUGAGCGUGCUUUCGAUACGGGUUGACUUGAGGAAGGUAGGGGAGAAUGGAAUUCCUGGUGGAGCGGUGGAAUGCGCAGAUAUCAGGAGGAACACCAGUGGCGAAGGCGGUUCUCUGGGCCUUUCCUGACGCUGAGGAGCGAAAGCGUGGGGAGCGAACAGGCUUAGAUACCCUGGUAGUCCACGCUGUAAACGGUGGGUACUAGGUGUGGGGUCCAUUCCACGGGUUCCGUGCCGUAGCUAACGCUUUAAGUACCCCGCCUGGGGAGUACGGCCGCAAGGCUAAAACUCAAAGGAAUUGACGGGGCCCCGCACAAGCGGCGGAGCAUGCGGAUUAAUUCGAUGCAACGCGUAGAACCUUACCUGGGUUUGACAUGGAUCGGGAGUGCUCAGAGAUGGGUGUGCCUCUUUUGGGGUCGGUUCACAGGUGGUGCAUGCCUGUCGUCAGCUCGUGUCGUGAGAUGUUGGGUUAAGUCCCGCAACGAGCGCAACCCUUGUUCACUGUUGCCAGCACGUUAUGGUGGGGACUCAGUGGAGACCGCCGGGGUCAACUCGGAGGAAGGUGGGGAUGACGUCAAGUCAUCAUGCCCCUUAUGUCCAGGGCUUCACGCAUGCUACAAUGGCUGGUACAGAGAGUGGCGAGCCUGUGAGGGUGAGCGAAUCUCGGAAAGCCGGUCUCAGCUCGGAUUGGGGUCUGCAACUCGACCUCAUGAAGUCGGAGUCGCUAGUAAUCGCAGAUCAGCAACGCUGCGGUGAAAAGGUUCCCGGG
rnacentral:rRNA from 1 species